rnacentral:rRNA from 1 species
AAGUCGUAACAAGGUUUCCGUAGGUGAACCUGCGGAAGGAUCAUUAUCGUAGGGCUUCUGCCCUGUCGAGAUAGCGUCCUUGCCUAUUUUUUGGAGUACCUUUCCGUUUCCUCAGCAGGCUUGCCUGCUACUGGGGACCUAUUAAACUCUUUGUAAAUACAGCAUCUGUCUGAAUAAACAAACAAAAAAUCAAAACUUUCAACAAUGGAUCUCUUGGUUCUGGCAUCGAUGAAGAACGCAGCAAAAUGCGAUAAGUAGUGUGAAUUGCAGAAUUCAGUGAAUCAUCGAAUCUUUGAACGCACAUUGCGCCCUUUGGUAUUCCUUAGGGCAUGCCUGUUCGAGCGUCAUUUACACCUUCAAGCACAGCUUGGUGUUGGGCGUCUGUCCCUAGUGGACUCGCCUCAAAAGGAUUGGCAGCCAUUCCAGCGGCUUUGAGCGCAGCAGAAUUGCGUCUUCUGGCAGCGGAGGGUGGCAUCCAUAAGCUUUUUUCUUAGUUUGACCUCGGAUCAGGUAGGGAUACCCGCUGAACUUAA